UAUUAAGUUUCUGACCAUCAAAGGUCUCCCAAUAGACAUUCUAGACUUUUUAUAAGGGUGUAUAAAAGACAUAGACACAGACUGUAACAUCCGGCCUACAAUAAGUUCACAGGUGGAUUGAAAGGUGGAGUGCACAUGCCCCUAGAGGCCAGCAACAUCCUAAGGAUUCAAUAAUGAUCCUUCCGCAGGUUCACCUACGGAAA
rnacentral:misc_RNA from 1 species